CCCCACCCUGAGGAUCCUAAGAGCAGUAGCCACCUGGAGGAAUCCAUGGUAGUGCAACGCCAAUGGAAUCAUGUUGCUGGAGAUCCCAAGUGGGUCUGGUGGGGAGGGGGAAGAAGUGGAGUCUCUGCUCACCCAGCCCUAACCUCCUGCAGGACCCAGGAUAGCUGCCAGGUUUGGAGGUGGUAAUUUAAAAGGUGCCUUUUCUUGAUGUCCAGGUUCUAUGCUAUCCCAUGAUACAGCUCGUAAUAGAGGAGGGCGUGUUCCAGAUGCUUUAAGUUCUGUUUUACAGCUGUUUGUGCUUGUGUUAAGAGAAGUUUUGCCAGCAUCACUGCCUGAAGGAGAGGAUUUGGG